AGAGUUUGAUCCUGGCUCAGAAUGAACGCUGGCGGUAUGGAUUAGGCAUGCAAGUCGAACGCUCACUUCGGUGAGAGUGGCGAAAGGGUGAGUAACGCGUGAGCAACCUACCCCCAAGUUUGGGAUAACUGUUGGAAACGACAGCUAAUACCGGAUGUGGAACUGCUUCCGCAUGGAAUGCAGCUUCUAAAGAUUUAUUGUUCAGAGAUGAGCUCGCGUCCCAUUAGCUAGUUGGUAAGGUAACGGCUUACCAAGGCGAUGAUGGGUAGCUGGUCUGAGAGGAUGAUCAGCCACACUGGGACUGAGACACUGCCCAGACUCCUGCGGGAGGCUGCAGUCGAGAAUCUUCCGCAAUGCGCGAAAGCGUGACGGAGCAAUGCCGCGUGAAGGAUGAAGGCUUUCGGGUCGUAAAAUGCUGUCACUGGGGACGAAAUUUGACGGUACCCAGAGAGGAAGCCACGGCUAACUACGUGCCAGCAGCCGCGGUAAUACGUAGGUGGCGAGCGUUGUUCGGAUUUAUUGGGCGUAAAGGGUCCGUAGGGGGUCAUGAAAGUCUGAUGUGAAAGCCAGUGGCUCAACCACUGAAUUGCAUAAGAAACUUCUAAACUAGAGUACUGGAGAGGUAAGUGGAAUUUCUGGUGUAGCGGUGGAAUGCGUAGAUAUCAGAAGGAACACCAAAGGCGAAGGCAGCUUUCUGGCUUGAUACUGACCCUGAGGGACGAAAGUUAGGGUAGCGAAAAGGAUUAGAUACCCUUGUAGUCCUAACCGUAAACGUUGUAUACUCGAUGUCGGGGAUAUUGAUCUCCUCGGUGUCUUAGCUAACGCAUUAAGUAUACCGCCUGGGGAGUACGGUCGCAAGACUAAAACUCAAAGGAAUUGACGGGGGCCCGCACAAGCGGUGGAGCAUGUGGCUUAAUUCGAGGCAACGCGAAGAACCUUACCUGGGUUUGACAUAUACGUGAUCGUGGACGAAAGUUCAUUUCUCUUCGGAGUAGGUAUACAGGUGCUGCAUGGCUGUCGUCAGCUCGUGCCGUGAGGUGUUCGGUUAAGUCCGGCAACGAGCGCAACCCAUGUCAUUAGUUGCAAACAGAUAAUGCUGUGAACUCUAGUGAGACUGCCCGUGUUAAGCGGGAGGAAGGAGUGGACGACGUCAAGUCAGUAUGGCCCUUACACCCAGGGCUGCACACGUGCUACAAUGGCCGGUACAGAAGGCAGCAAUACCGCGAGGUGGAGCUAAUCCCCAAAACCGGUCCCAGUUCGGAUUGAAGUCUGCAACUCGACUUCAUGAAGUUGGAAUCGCUAGUAAAGGCGUAUCAGCUACGACGCCUUGAAUACGUUCCCGGGCCUUGUACACACCGCCCGUCACAUCAUGGAAGCUGAAUGCACCCGAAGUCACUGUACCAACCCUCGGGAGGAAAGUGCCGAAGGUGUGCUUAGUAACUGGGAUGAAGUCGUAACAAGGUA
rnacentral:rRNA from 1 species